rnacentral:rRNA from 1 species
UAGAGUUUGAUCCUGGCUCAGAUUGAACGCUGGCGGCAGGCUUAACACAUGCAAGUCGAGCGGGGAAAGGUAGCUUGCUACAUUUCCUAGCGGCGGACGGGUGAGUAAUGCUUAGGAAUCUGCCUAUUAGUGGGGGACAACAUUCCGAAAGGAAUGCUAAUACCGCAUACGCCCUACGGGGGAAAGCAGGGGGUCUUCGGACCUUGCGCUAAUAGAUGAGCCUAAGUCAGAUUAGCUAGUUGGUGGGGUAAAGGCCUACCAAGGCGACGAUCUGUAGCGGGUCUGAGAGGAUGAUCCGCCACACUGGGACUGAGACACGGCCCAGACUCCUACGGGAGGCAGCAGUGGGGAAUAUUGGACAAUGGGCGAAAGCCUGAUCCAGCCAUGCCGCGUGUGUGAAGAAGGCCUUUUGGUUGUAAAGCACUUUAAGCGAGGAGGAGGCUACCGAGAUUAAUACUCUAGGAUAGUGGACGUUACUCGCAGAAUAGCACCGGCUAACUCUGUGCCAGCAGCCGCGGUAAUACAGAGGGUGCGAGCGUUAAUCGGAUUUACUGGGCGUAAAGCGUGCGUAGGCGGCUUCUUAAGUCGGACGUGAAAUCCCUGAGCUUAACUUAGGAAUUGCAUUAGAUACUGGGAAGCUAGAGUAUGGGAGAGGAUGGUAGAAUUCCAGGUGUAGCGGUGAAAUGCGUAGAGAUCUGGAGGAAUACCGAUGGCGAAGGCAGCCAUCUGGCCUAAUACUGACGCUGAGGUACGAAAGCAUGGGGAGCAAACAGGAUUAGAUACCCUGGUAGUCCAUGCCGUAAACGAUGUCUACUAGCCGUUGGGGCCUUUGAGGCUUUAGUGGCGCAGCUAACGCGAUAAGUAGACCGCCUGGGGAGUACGGUCGCAAGACUAGAACUCAAAUGAAUUGACGGGGGCCCGCACAAGCGGUGGAGCAUGUGGUUUAAUUCGAUGCAACGCGAAGAACCUUACCUGGUCUUGACA